rnacentral:lncRNA from 1 species
ACCACACAUCUUGGUUAAGAAGACAACCAACUAAUAUGGUAUGCAAUGAUCUACACUCGAUACAAUUAUCAUCAUUGUAACAAUUGUAUCAUUUGAUCAUGAGCAGGAUUUAAGAACUACAUGAUAAAUCUUUCUUUAUCAUUUUGGUAGUAGUUCUAAAGACUUUAUCACAACAUAUGAGUUCUAUUUUAGAAGAUGUAUUCCUUAUGA